rnacentral:rRNA from 1 species
ACGGAAGGCAGCAGUGGGGAAUAUUGGACAAUGGGGGAAACCCUGAUCCAGCGACGCCGCGUGAGUGAAGAAGUAUUUCGGUAUGUAAAGCUCUGUCAGCAAGGAAGAAAAUGACGGUACUUGACUAAGAAGCUCCGGCUAAAUACGUGCCAGCAGCCGCGGUAAUACGUAUGGAGCAAGCGUUAUCCGGAUUUACUGGGUGUAAAGGGAGCGUAGACGGCAAAGCAAGUCCGAAGUGAAAUCCCGGGGCUCAACCCCGGAACUGCUUUGGAAACUGUUUAGCUAGAGUGCGGGAGAGGUAAGCGGAAUUCCUAGUGUAGCGGUGAAAUGCGUAGAUAUUAGGAGGAACACCAGUGGCGAAGGCGGCUUACUGGACUGUAACUGACGUUGAGGCUCGAAAGCGUGGGGAGCAAACAGGAUUAGAUACCCUGGUA